GCAGUUAUAACUCCGUGACAGAGUGCAUGUUUUACAUGCACAAGGUGCUGGGUUCAAUCCCCAGUACCUCCA
rfam:Camelus ferus unplaced genomic scaffold scaffold1335, whole genome shotgun sequence.